rnacentral:rRNA from 1 species
AGUGAACGCUGGCGGCGUGCCUAACACAUGCAAGUCGAACGGAUCUUAAGGGCUUGCUCUUAAGGUUAGUGGCGCACGGGUGAGUAACACGUAGCUAACCUGCCCCAUAGUAAGGGACAACAGUUGGAAACGACUGCUAAUACCUUAUACUCCUUCUCUACCUAAGUAGAGUCGGGAAAGUUUUUUCGCUAUGGGAUGGGGCUGCGGCCUAUCAGCUUGUUGGGGAGGUAAUGGUUCACCAAGGCUAUGACGGGUAGCUGGUCUGAGAGGAUGAUCAGCCACAUUGGAACUGAGACACGGUCCAAACUCCUACGGGAGGCAGCAGUGGGGAAUUUUACACAAUGGGCGAAAGCCUGAUGUAGCAACGCCGCGUGGAGGAUGAAGGAUUUAGGUUCGUAAACUCCUUUUAUAAGGGAAGAAAUUUGACGGUACCUUAUGAAUAAGCACCGGCUAACUCCGUGCCAGCAGCCGCGGUAA